rnacentral:rRNA from 1 species
AAACCUACGGGGCGCAGCAGUGGGGAAUAUUGCACAAUGGGGGAAACCCUGAUGCAGCAACGCCGCGUGAGUGAAGAAGUAUUUCGGUAUGUAAAGCUCUAUCAGCAGGGAAGAAAAUGACGGUACCUGAGUAAGAAGCCCCGGCUAACUACGUGCCAGCAGCCGCGGUAAUACGUAGGGGGCAAGCGUUAUCCGGAUUUACUGGGUGUAAAGGGAGCGUAGACGGCGAUGCAAGUCUGAAGUGAAAGCCCGGGGCUCAACCCCGGGACUGCUUUGGAAACUGCCAUGCUAG